GAGUUUGAUCGUGGCUCAGAUUGAACGCUGGCGGCAUGCCUUACACAUGCAAGUCGAACGGCAGCACGGGAGCUUGCUCCUGGUGGCGAGUGGCGAACGGGUGAGUAAUGCAUCGGAACGUAUCCUGGAGUGGGGGAUAACGUAGCGAAAGUUACGCUAAUACCGCAUAUUCUGUGAGCAGGAAAGCGGGGGACCUUCGGGCCUCGCGCUCUUGGAGCGGCCGAUGUCGGAUUAGCUAGUUGGUGAGGUAAAGGCUCACCAAGGCGACGAUCCGUAGCAGGUCUGAGAGGAUGAUCUGCCACACUGGAACUGAGACACGGUCCAGACUCCUACGGGAGGCAGCAGUGGGAUUUGGACAAUGGGGGCAACCCUGAUCCAGCCAUGCCGCGUGAGUGAAGAAGGCCUUCGGGUUGUAA
rnacentral:rRNA from 1 species